UGAUUUGAGCCUCUGGGGGAAGGGGCUUGGCCCCUGAGUGGCAGGUUAGCUCUGGGGUAUGGCAGGGGCAGUCACCUCUCAGAGAUAGAGCCCUUCUGCAGAGCCCCUCGCCCUCUCAUCCACACUCAGACCAGAGGGCCCUCCGCCUGCCCCACCCCGGCCAUGAGCCCCUGCCUCCUGGGCUGUGUGGUCUUCUGUCUCCUGCAGGCAGGGGCGGUCCAUGCUGGGGUCACUCAGGACCCCAGAUUCCAGGUCGUGAGGAGAGGACAGAGCGCGACACUGACAUGUACUCAGCAUCUGAACCACGAUUAUAUGUACUGGUACAGACAAGAUCCAGGACAUGGGCUGAGGCUGAUCUAUUACUCAGCUGGGCCUCCCACCACGGAGAAAGGAGAUGCGCCCGACGGGUACAGUGUCUCCAGAUCAAGCAAAAAGAACUUUCCUCUCACGCUGGUGUCCGCCAACCACUCCCAGACAUCUGUGUACUUCUGUGCCAGCAGUUAUUCCAAGGCGCUGCACAGCCACCUGCUCUCUGGGCAAAAAGACAGGGUCCCAGGUGCAGGCUCCUAGCACCGGGAGCCUCAAGGCCCUGGAGACCACGUGCCAGCACUGUGACCCUGGAUGUGUGACCUGGACAGGCCUGGAUCUGACCCCAGGGACUCGGAGACACAUGUCCACCAUCAGUCUCUGUCUUUCCUUUGCAUCCUCCCUGGAUGCAGUUCUGACUGCACCCA